rnacentral:rRNA from 1 species
UCAUUGCACACACAGGAGUUGCAGCGAACCCCCUUGCGAACGGUGAGCUUUGUCCCCCUCGGUCGGUCCCCUCCCUUCUGCUCUGCCGCGUUCUUGCGUGGUUCGUGGUUAGACUUGGGGGGGAANCGGCCAGCCCAAGUUCUCACGCCCCCGGGCCGGANUCCCUCACGGGUGUUUUGGCCUGGUCGGNUGGGACUUGGUGUUUCCGAACACCCCCGAUGGCGCAAUGCAUCACAAACAGUAAAAUGACUGAGUGUAAAACAAAACUGGGGCUCUGCUCCCAUGCGUGCGCGCGUGUGUGUGUAGGCCCCCGAGUUGUGCGAUCAAAUGAAAAACAACUCUCAGCAACGGAUAUCUUGGCUCCUGCAACGAUGAAGAACGCAGCGAAAUGCGAUACGUAGUGUGAAUUGCAGAAUUCCGCGAAUCAUCGAGUCUUUGAACGCAAGUUGCGCCCGAGGCUUGCCCUCUGGCAUUUCUAACAGAGCGUCACCGCGACACCCACCGACCCCCCACUCCUCGAGCGAAAGUUCGAGUGUGUGUGGGGGUUGAGUGAAAGUGGCCGUCCCGGCGGAUGGGAGCCCGCGGGCCUCCAAUGGUCGGGUCGGCUGAAAUGGAGGGAAUUUGGCCGCCGUGGUGUGACACAGCCGGCGAUCGGGUGAUCCAAGUCCUCUUGGAACUCAAUGUGCGUCGGCCGUG